AGUCAGACAAUCCUGCAAAUUUUUAAUAUUUAAUAUUAUUUAAUUUUAAUUAAUAUUUAAUCCAACCAGUUGGUGAGGUAGGGUUCAAACUCUGGGCUUGGAGUUAGGGGGACCUGCUCUUCCAGUGUGGAGCCAGACUCUCAGUACCUGUGUGACUCUGGAUGAGACAUGUAACUCUGGUUCCUCAUCUGUAAAAUGAGUGUAAUAAUAGCAUCUGCCUCCCAGGAUGGCUGUAAGGAUCAAAUGAGGUAAUGUGAAGUGCUUUGAACAAUGCCUAGCAUACACUAGGUGCUGUAUAAAUGCUUUGUUACUGGGGCCUACACCACGCAGUCAGUGCCAAGUGAUUUCCAAAGGCUAGAGGAAGGCUUCUGUGAGGAGGGAAGGCAUUUCAGGCAGGACAUGGGUUGUCCUAUAUGGGGAAUAGAGGCCACUGUGGCUGGAAUUCAAGUUAGUCCGACAUUUAUUAAGCACCUACCAGGUGCACUGGCUGGAAUUCAGGUUAGUCCGACAUUUAUUAAGCACCUACCAGGUGCACUGGCUGGAAUUCAGGUUAGUCCGACAUUUAUUAAGCACCUACCAGGUGCACUGGCUGGAAUUCAGGUUAGUCCGACAUUUAUUAAGCACCUACCAGGUGCACUGGCUGGAAUUCAGGUUAGUCCGACAUUUAUUAAGCACCUACCAGGUGCACUGGCUGGAAUUCAGGUUAGUCCAAUAUUUAUUAAGCACCUACCAGGUGCACUGGCUGGAAUUCAGGUUAGUCCAACAUUUAUUAAGCACCUACCAGGUGCACUGGCUGGAAUUCAGGUUAGUCCAACAUUUAUUAAGCACCUACCACGUGCACUGGGGAGUACACCCGUACAGCCCCUGGCCCCGAGGAGUUACACGCCCCUAGGAGAGGUUACAACAUGUAUAUAACAAGUGGAUGAGAAGAGGGACGCAGUCAUUUGGAGACAGAACCUGCACGCCUCCUAAUGAGGGGCCUCAGGUUGGGGGGCAGAGGGAGGAGGGGAGGGGGAGGCCUGGCUCUGCCCAGAGCAUAGGACUCUAAGAGGAGGACAGUCUUGGAAAGGGAAAUGGAAGGGCUUUUGACGCCAGGCUGAGGCAUUUGUAGUUUACUCUAGAAUUCGGGAGCUCCUACCCAUUGCUGGCGGGCCGGCACUCCCCGAGGGUGUUUGAGGGCACAUCCCCUAGGGCAGAGGGACAGAGGCAGGCUGGCAGAUGGCCUUGGCCCUGGGACCUCGGCACCGGGAGAGGGCGAUGUCCCUGGACAGGACGUGUCACUAAGGAGAGUCCCUGCUGGACUCAGAUUGCCAGCGUGAAAAGGAGAAAAAUCAUAAAAUAGUCCUAACACCACCCGUGUCUGUGUGUAUGUCCUCCUGCACCCGUGCCGAAGGCCUGCCCGUCUCGUGUCUCAGCUGCCAGGCAGAGGCAGGGGAGGCUCAGAUCCUGCCUCAGACCCUUCCAAGUCGAUCCAACAACUGGGGCCCUCAGUGCUGGGGAGGCAAAGAUACAAAGGGAAGCCAAGGCCCACCCGCACAGCGCCGACACAGAUGCCAACAGUUAAGUGAAUUCUGGGUCAUUUGCGGAGGAAGGAAGGAAGCACUAAUGGCCUGAAUCCUACAGCAGAUACUUAUUGAACCUCAGUCUCCUCUUCUGUGAAAUGGGAAGCAUAAUAGUACUUGACUCCCAGAGCCAUGUCAGCAAAGGGCAAAUAGGCCAGACUGGAAAAGAAAAAGACAUGAAGAGGGAAUAUGGGGAUAAAAGCCUGGUGGGGCAGGUUGGACAGCUUGUGGGCAGUGAAGGCUGAGCUGAGGUGUCUGUCCGGGGUCCUGGAGGGAACAGGGAGCCACAGAAGCUUCUUGAGCUGGGACAGCCUGGGCCUGGGAUGGACAGGAGGGGGGAGGAAGCCGGCGAGGAGGCUGCUCUGGCUCUGAGAUCCCCUGGGGCCUGACCUAGAGCAGUGAUCGCUGGGGCUGGCUGGGUGAUGACGGAUCCUCAUGUCCUUGUUUGUAAGAUUUUCGCUAGUGGACUCCUUAGAGGGUGGCCCUGAGGCUCCCAGGUGCCAGGUAAAGACUGCCCUCUCCUCCCCUGCCCACAGUGAAUCCUGAUCUGGAGGGGAUGCUGGGCUUCACCUUAGGGAAAUGGGCUCAGCCAGGCUUGAUGGCUGCCAGGGAUGCCCAGCUGUGCCCCAAGCAGGGCAGGAGACCCCUGGGAACGGGAACUGGCUGAUUCCCUUAGAGGCUCCUGAGAGAAACUCUCAGACAGUUCUGUGAGUGAGGACGCGGAUACUGUUCAUAGUCAAAUCCCCCGAGCCAGGCUUUUCCCAGAUGUCAGAUGGGCGUGAUGGGGAUCAAAGAUCACAGCUGGCUGAGCAUCCAGACGAUCUAGAUCCCGAGUGCCAGUUCUGAGCCCCGGGCACACGCAGACUGGCUAACGGGAACAAUCAGCCUGCUGCGCUUACACAGCACUCCACAUUUGUACCAAGGUCACCUCCUAAGAUCCCCACAACCACGAGGUGGGGGUGGAACGUGAGAGUGUUAUUAUCCCCACUUUACAGAUGAGGAAACUGAGACCCAGACAAGUCCAAUGACUCCCAGAGUCACACCAAGAGAAAGUGUGUGAGUCAGGAUUUGAACUCGGGGCUUCAUGCCUCUAAGUGGGGUACCCUGAGAGCUGUAACUCCAUCUGCCUUGUGAACGAUUGCUUUUCCUUCUCUGAGGGCUGCAAAUGACCUGGGAUUUACUUAUCUGUUUACAAGUGUGUAUCCUGCAACGAAGGUGAGGGGCUUUCUUUUCCCAUCCUUGUAUCCCCAGUC